ACGAUCCUACGGGAGGCAGCAGUGAGGAAUAUUGGUCAAUGGUCGGGAGACUGAACCAGCCAAGCCGCGUGAGGGAUGAAGGUACAGAGUAUCGUAAACCUCUUUUGUCAGGGAACAAAGGCGGGGACGUGUCCCCGGAUGAGUGUACCUGAAGAAAAAGCAUCGGCUAACUCCGUGCCAGCAGCCGCGGUAAUACGGAGGAUGCGAGCGUUAUCCGGAUUUAUUGGGUUUAAAGGGUGCGUAGGCGGGUUAUCAA
rnacentral:rRNA from 1 species